AUAGUAAAAAAGAUGAGCAGAUUGAAGAAGAAAGAAGACUUAUGUAUGUGGCAAUAACAAGAGCUGAAGAUAAUCUAUGCAUAAGUUCGCCUCAAA
rnacentral:sRNA from 1 species